UUUCAGCAAAUCCCUCUAAGGAUAAGAUGUUGAUGACCUUGUAAACUCGAGUAAUAGAAAUGGGAUGAAAUUUAAUCGUGGAAAGUGCAAGGUGAUGCAUUUAGGGACUAAGAACAAGAGACUUUGCUAUAAGUGGGGCAUUUACCAGUUGGAAGCAACGAAAGAGGAGAAAGAC